UCAGGAACGCCUAUUGCCGAUGUAGCCAGA
rnacentral:piRNA from 1 species